AAAUAAUAUUGGCAAACCUCCUGAAAAGGCGGGACGCAAAGCCAUGGGUCUAAAGAUUCUAGUCUAAGAUUGCCAGGUUGCAGCA
rnacentral:ncRNA from 1 species